rnacentral:misc_RNA from 1 species
GGUCGUGUGUCACAGUGAAAAGGUACUCGCAUCUUCGGCGUCCUUUUGGCUUGGAUUUUGGAAAUGAAACUGCCGCUUGGCGUCGGUUGCAGUGGCCAGGUUGCUCGGCGAAUGAGAUGAAAUGAAACAAGGACGUAUUGGCUUGGAUUCGGCGUUGGAUUUGUGGCUGCUUGGCCAUUUUAUGCUGAGGAUUUUUCGCCUCUCGCAUCGGGUAUCCCAAAGUGGAGUGUGCAGCCUUGUUCUUUCUCUUACAUUUGGAAACUCGGGGUUAAAAGAAAUCGCUUAAAUCGCAAUGGAUCGGGAAAAUAACCACACAGAAAGUAAAAACAAGCAAAGUAGAUACGGAUUUCAAGGAAAUCUGAAAAAAUCUGAACAGACAUGCUGGCCAACUGACCUUGGAAGAUCCAACAUUUGUUGUUGGAACACUAACCCAGACACUUUUAGAAGAAUCUCACAAAUGAACAACAACCCAUUUUGUUACUUCCAAUCAACCGAAGCAGUCUCUGACUGCGUAAACGAAAACAAGAACCACAAUUUGGAAGCUCGUCGAGAUAGUUUAAAACUAAAAAAUUCGGACUUGAAUGCAAAAAGUAACGAAAUGCUAAGUAUAUAAGCUACUGACUAAAUCAUGCUUAACUGACUAAAUAUUUCAUAACAGAAGUACAGAGUCAUAGUCUGGAAUGAGCUGAUUGCGAAGACACAGCAGAUGAGCAGCGAGUAAUGUUGAUAAAUUCAGUAGCGUCACGAAGACGAACUUCAUGAAAUCCAACAAGAAAUCAAUAAUCAAAAGUUAUCUUAACAUUGUAAUGUAAUAAGGUAAAUACAAAGGCUUCAAUUCCGGAGAGCGCUCAGUAGAUUGGAAGAUAUUAGCUGUACUCUAUAAAACUGACACAGGUCUGACCAACGCAGCCGGUGUUUACAAAGAUAAUUUAUAACCAUUAAUAGACUUAUAAUAGCAUAGAUGAUGUCUGUAUUCAGAAAUUGCGGAAGCUGUACAUAAAACGAAAACUUGCUCAACCUUAAUAAGUUCUAGAGUACCCUUAGUGAAUUAAAUAAUAUUUUGACCCAGUAAUGAAACGAUCUUCGCUAUUAAGCUUCAAUUAAAGCAUUUGCAGAAAAGAAGACAGAAAAAAACUGCAGGCUUUGAAUGAGCCGGCAAAGCCUGGAUUUUUUCUGGCUGCUUUAAAUGCAGCUUACCUGCUAAGAUCGUCUCGUUACUCGUAAACUACUGUUCUAAGAACUUACCGCAAUA